UACGGAGGGUGCAAACGUUGUCCGGAUUUACUGGGCGUAAAGAGCGUGUAGGCGGCCAGGCAGGUCCGCUGUGAAAACUCGAGGCUCAACCUCGAGAGGUCGGUGGAAACCGUCUGGCUAGAGUCCGGAAGAGGAGAGUGGAAUUCCCGGUGUAGCGGUGAAAUGCGCAGAUAUCGGGAAGAACACCGGUGGCGAAGGCGGUUCUCUGGGCCUUACCUGACACUGAGGAGCGAAAGCGUGGGGAGCGAACAGG
rnacentral:rRNA from 1 species